AGAGUUUGAUCCUGGCUCAGAAUGAACGCUGGCGGCGUGCCUAACACAUGCAAGUCGUACGAGAAAUCUUUUGUUCGCAGAAGAGAGUAAAGUGGCGCACGGGUGAGUAACGCGUGGAUAAACUGCCUCUGAAUCGGGGAUAACGUUACGAAAGUGACGCUAAUACCGGAUAAUAUCUAGAAUGCUUCGGUUUUUUAGAUCAAAGGGGGCCACUACAUGUAAGCUUCUGUUUAGAGAUGAGUCCGCGUGCCAUUAGCUUGUUGGUAGGGUAAUGGCCUACCAAGGCUGCGAUGGCUAGCUGGUCUGAGAGGAUGAUCAGCCACACUGGAACUGAGACACGGUCCAGACUCCUACGGGAGGCAGCAGUGAGGAAUCUUGCGCAAUGGGGGAAACCCUGACGCAGCAACGCCGCGUGAGUGAAGAAGGCUUUCGGGUCGUAAAGCUCUGUCAAGUGGGAAGAACCAGUCCUAUGUUAAUACCAUGGGGCACUGACGGUACCAUUGAAGGAAGCACCGGCUAACUCCGUGCCAGCAGCCGCGGUAAUACGGAGGGUGCAAGCGUUAUUCGGAAUUACUGGGCGUAGAGGGCGCGCAGGCGGCUUUUUAAGUCGGGCGUGAGAGCCCGGGGCUAAACCCCGGAAGGGCGUUCGAAACUAAAAGGCUUGAGUACGGGAGAGGGAAGUGGAAUUCCUGGUGUAGAGGUGAAAUUCGUAGAUAUCAGGAGGAACACCGGUGGCGAAGGCGACUUCCUGGACCGAUACUGACGCUGAGGCGCGAAAGCGUGGGGAGCAAACAGGAUUAGAGACCCUGGUAGUCCACGCUGUAAACGAUGAACACUAGGUGUAGCGGGUAUUGACUCCUGCUGUGCCGCAGCUAACGCAUUAAGUGUUCCGCCUGGGGACUACGGUCGCAAGGCUAAAACUCAAAGGAAUUGACGGGGGCUCGCACAAGCGGUGGAGCAUGUGGUUUAAUUCGACGCAACGCGAAGAACCUUACCUGGGUAUGACAUCCCAAGAAGUCCUUCGAAAGAAGGAUGUGCCCCUCGGGGAAUUUGGUGACAGGUGCUGCAUAGCUGUCGUCAGCUCGUGUCGUGAGAUGUUGGGUUAAGUCCCGCAACGAGCGCAACCCUUGUCCUUAGUUGCCAUCAGUUCGGCUGGGCACUCUAAGGAUACUGCCUCGGUCAACGGGGAGGAAGGUGGGGAUGACGUCAAGUCCUCAUGGCCUUUAUGCCCAGGGCUACACACGUGCUACAAUGGACUGUACAAAGGGCUGCGAACCCGCGAGGAGGAGCUAAUCCCAAAAAACAGUCCUCAGUUCGGAUUGGAGUCUGCAAUUCGACUCCAUGAAGCUGGAAUCGCUAGUAAUCGUGGAUCAGCAUGCCACGGUGAAUGCGUUCCCGGGCCUUGUACACACCGCCCGUCACACCACGAGAGUUGACUGUACCAGAAGUUGUUGGGCCAACCCUUUACUGGGCGGCAGGCACCUAAGGUAUGGUUGAUGAUUGGGGUGAAGUCGUAACAAGGUA
rnacentral:rRNA from 1 species